UCUCGAACUUAAUAUUUUCCCGAGGUUUCUCGAUUAACAAUUAGUCUCUCGAGGUUACUCUAAUGUUUUUCCGAGACUUUCGGACAUUGAUUUCGUCUUGACCGAUUUUGACCCCAACAUACCUUUGAGUUAGUGUUAGCACCGAGAUACGGUGUUAACUUAGCUCGAGUAUUGAUUGUUUGAAUUGCUAGGGAUCCGUUCGUUUAGUUGGCCGUUUGGCAAGCUGUUAGUUUUAGAUUAAGGUCGAGCAUACCUUAGUCGGUGUGGAUUAAGGAUUAGACUUAGGCUUUAUUAUUGCGCUUAGGCUAGAUUGCUUGUUGUUUUUGGGUUGUUUGGGCUAGCUACAUUAGGAUUUGAGUUAGAGGUAGCCAGCUCUCGUUGUCCUUUUUGCGGGAGUUCAGGUUGUAGAAGAUCGGAUACGUAGGCCGCCGGAGUAGAUUUGCAGUGCAUUGUGCUACGGUUUGAUUCUUAAACAUUACUUUUCCGUUGCGUUUUAUUCGGGUUUGGGAUCCCUAAAAUAUUGCAAAUAUUCUUAAAAGACUUAGAAUUUAUUUAAAAUUGAACGGGUCCAAUAUGAUAUUGGUUUAGUCCGAACCGACACAACGUUAGCUCUUGGUACGGGUUGAAAAGCCUUAGGCCUCGAUCUAACGGAAAACGUUAACUUCGGGUACGGGUUGCAAAGCCUUAUGCCUUGAGUUAGCGGGAUGUGUUAGAGGAUGAACUGGUCUAAGUUGCGGAGUAAAUUCUGUGGCACUGACUGGAUCGUCCCUAGCUCGUCAUGUAGCGCUUCCGGACCAUGGUGUUGGGUUGGACGGUCAGUCAUGUUCUUGUUUGAUUGUUGGCUGGCCGGUUGACCUUUCAUCUCCAACCCUUAGUGUUGGUCGCUCCGUCGGUCAUGUUCUUGUUUGAUUGUUGGCCGGUGGUUUGACCGAUGCCUAGGACGGUUCGGGGGUGUUACAUUCCCAUUCCUUUCCUACGAAAAAAUUAAAACCUUGAUAAAAUUUUCUAAGUCGGACGUACCUUAGUCUCAUUGAUUACUCGAGAUUGCCUCAUGUCCGUUCCUCUUUGUCUUCUACCGUUUCAUUGUCAAAGGUCUUCGAAAAGUCUGAUACUGAAUCGAGAAUCGAUUUUUGAUGAAACCUGAAGGAACAGUGCAGAAUCGUUGCAGAAUCGUUGAAGCAAAGGGAGGAGAAGUAGGCGAAGCUCGAAGAAGGCUAAGGUGGGUAGACAAGUGAAAACGAAUGGCAAGAUGUCACUUGAGUGGGGCUUCUUGUUUCGUCAAGCUAUGAGCGAACUGGUCAGGUCAAGAAGCUUACGAUCUUGUUAUACUUCACGAAUGAUGUUUCGUAAAAUAUUGCCGAGCUUUUAUUUAACGAGAGUUAAUCAAAAUGUUGUCGAGUUAAUUUUACGGAAAUUGUUUUGUAAAAUUAGUUUGGAUAAUAUUUGGGUCAAUCCUUAUGAGGAUUGGCCGUGCUUGACGAAUGUUUUGUUUGCGGGAACUCGGAAAGUCGCAAAACACGGAUUUCUGGCGACCCGGGGGCUUAGAUCUUAUGCACGAAGACUAACCGCCCGACGACCCGAGCCAGCACGGGGCUAGCCGCCCGGCGGCCACGGCCAGCACGGGCGCUUGCCGCCGGCGACCACGGCCAGCACGGGCGCUAGCCGCCGGCGGCCACGGCCAGCACGGGGCUAGCCGCCCGUCGGCCACGGCCAGCACGGGCGCUAGCCGCCCGGCGACCGUGGCCAGCACGGGCGCUAGCUGCCGGCGGCCACGGCCAGCACGGGGCUAGCCGCCCGGCGACCACGGCCAGCACGGGCGCUAGCCGCCGGCGGCCACGGCCAGCACGGGGCUAGCCGCCCGGCGACCACGGCCAGCACGGGCGCAAGCCGCCGGCGGCCACGGCCAGCACGGGGCUAGCCGCCCGGCGACCACGGCCAGCACGGGCGCUAGCUGCCGGCGGCCACGGCCAGCACGGGGCUAGCCGCCCGGCGACCACGGCCAGCACGGGCGCUAGCUGCCGGCAGCCACGGCCAGCACGGGGCUAGCCGCCCGGCGGCCACGGCCAGCACGGGGCUAGCCGCCGGCGGCCAUGGCCAGCACGGGCGCUAGCUGCCGGCGGCCACGGCCAGCGCGGGGGCUAGCCGCCCGGCGGCCACGGCCGCGACCGGAGUCGGCUGCUUGGUUCCUUCGGCUUGUGCGUGUUUUUGCGUUUUUUUUAGUUUUCCGUAGGUUUUUCCUCGUGUAGAAAAUGUUUUGUUGCCCGGCGACCAGUGCAGCACGGGCGCGUUAGCCGCCCGGCGCCUAGAGGCAGCACGGGCGUGGUAGCCGCCCGGCGCCUAGGGACAGCACGGGCGUGCUAGCCGCCCGGGACUGUGCUUCCUCGCGGGACCUGCCUGUUUUUCUCAUUUUUUUAAAGGUUUCUUGAUCGACACUUAGUCUCUCGAGGUUUCUUUAAUUGUUUUUCCGAGACUUUUGGACAUUGAUUUCAUCAUGAUCCCAGCAAGGAAUUGUUUCUUAGAACGUUGUUGACCUUUUAUUUUACGAGAGUUAUUUCACAAAAUGUUGUCGAGUUAAUUUUACGGAAACUGUUUGUAAAAUGUUGUCGAGUUUAAUCAUGCAAAAGCUGUCUCGUGAAAUAUUUUUCGAGAAUUUAUUUUACGAAAGGUAUUCCGUAAAAUGUUAUCGAAUUUAGCAUUAGAAACGCUGAUUGGUAACCCGAUCAAUCGUGCUUUCUGUUUCAUGAGUAAUCUGGGGUUUCUCCGCGAUUUCCAGGAGAACAAGUCUUUAUUUUUCCGGGAAAUUCUAAAAAACAUUUCCAGUCGAAACUCAGACCGUCAUAUCAGCCUUGGGCUCGAUCCUACCUAAAAUCGUAUGUGGGUCGUUUAGCCGUGAUUCGGGCCCCUUUGGGCUGUCUUGGGACUUAGACGUUUUUACGAUUUUUCUUUAGAAAAAGCCGUUGAUGUGACGCUGGUUUUUCCGAAAAUAUUUCAAUUCCCCGUAUAGUUAAGGCAACUGGUGUUCAAGCUAACCAUAGCCGUUUUAUACGGCAGGCAGGAAUCCGUCUCCACUACCAAGUCUUUUUAUGAAUUUUCCCGAAGUCUUUCUUCGAUAAUCCCAAACGAGGGGGUUGGGUCCAUGGACCCGAGGACCGUGUUGCAGGAACUUGGACGGGGUGCAUGGUUGAUAGGACCCGAACUUGGUUGGGAUGGUCCGUUCUCGGGACGUUUGUCCGUAAGAUGAUAAUCUUAGAUAACUGUUUGCAUAAGCGUUGGUCGUAGGAGCAGUCACUGCUGAAGUUGUUUUACCAGCGUCGAUGUGAGCUGUGAGUUUGUCUUUCAUAUUUCCAGACAUUGCUUUGAUCAAGCGUUUUGCGGCCGUAAGAGUAAGAGUAAUCCGUCCCCCCCCUCCUUCUAGCGCCAAACUGUGGGAACCGAAAUUCGCACUGUCGAUUUUGAUUAAGUAAAACGGAAGAAAGCUAAGUAAACCUAACUUUCCCUGAAGGUCCGGAUUCUCUGCGACAACCAACGACAAGUGAUCAAAUAAAUGCAGAAAGGUUUUAUUGAGAUUUGGGACUGGACCUUAAGGAAGGCUGCCUACGUACCCCUUUCGAGGAUCAAGUCGGACGUAGUUCAGUUGGAUGGGUUUGAACAAGAGAUCGAACUGCCUGGCGGAGUUCGUCUAGUACGAGCGUUAGUCAUAGAAACGGGCAUGUCGGAAUAAUGCCUAGGGUUUCUAUGUGCGGAACUCUAAGUAAAAGGAUUGUUAGAUCCUUCCGAGAGAGACAGGAGCCUGCAGACAAGAUGAAAAUAGAACGAGAGGCGGCCGGACGUUCUAGGUCCUACCUUGCUAGUCUACCGCCUGAAUUCUAAGUUCUUAACCUAACAGGAGCUCUCUAGGUCUCCAAUCUCGGAUUUCUCUCUCUCUUAAUGAUUUUCGCUCUCCUUUUCCUCCUCUCCCAAAGCUCCUUUAUAUACUCCUUCUUAUGACGGUCUAUUCUCCUUUUGGGCCGCGAAGCGGGCUUUUUCCAUUUUCGUCGGCCUUCAUGUUUAUCGGGAAACUUGACAUUUAUCUUCGGGAAACUUGACAUUUAUCCUUCUGGAAGUUUAGCAUUUAUCUUGUUAUGUGAAGAUAAACGUAAAUCGUCGUAUCUAUCUCAGACAAUCGUAAGCGGACUGUCCGAUCGCGUUUGGUCCCUUUCGGGCCGUUUCUAGGACUUCCGUUGUUUUCUACGAUUUCUUCGGAAGAUCUUCAAUCCUUCGUAGAGUUGAGAUGAGUGGUGUCUUAAGAUAACCAUCACUAUUUCGCACGAAUAAUUUAAGAUCUUCCUUCCCGUUGAUAUCUUACGAGUUUCCGAAGUGUUUCCGACGAUCUUAGUUUGGAGUAAGAGCGGGAGUUUUGUACGCGGAAUCUCAACGAUUCGUUCCGCGAAAACUUGGGAAAGACGCAAAGUACAGACUUCUGACGGCCGGGGCCUAGAACUUAUGCACGGAAGCUUGUCAUCCGAAGACCCGAGCCAGCACGGGGCUAGCCGCCCGGCGGCCAUGGCCAGCACGGGCGCUAGCCGCAGGCGGCCACGGCCAGCAUGGGGCUAGCCGCCCGGCGGCCACGGCCAGCACGGGCGCUAGCCGCCGGCGGCCACGGCCAGCGCGGGGCUAGCCGCCCGGCGGCCACGGCCAGCACGGGCGCUAGCCGCCGCCGGCCACGGCCAGCACGGGGGCUAGCCGCCCGGCGGCCACGACCAGCACGUGCGUCUCGACGAGGGCUUCGAUUUGAUAUGUUGAUCGUUUUCUGGGUCCUCACGGUUUGAGAGAACGGGCUCUUUGAAGUUUCCCGGCGGCCAGGACCAGCAUGGGGGCUUAGCCGCCCGGCGGCCAGGACCAGCACGGGGGCUAGCCGCCGGCGGCCAGUACCAGCACGUGCGUCUCGACGAGGGCUUCGAUUUGAUAUCUUGAUCGUUCUCUGGAUCCUCACGGUUUGAGAGAACGGGCUCUUUGAAGUUUAAAGGCAGAUUCCUUGUCGUUCGGCCUAUCCAAACUUAGAUCACUUCCCUUUUCUUCCGUAUACUUUCGUAUGGUCGUGUCAUCUCAGCUACGGACCUAAUGUCUCUCGGUUCUUCUUGAUUGUAUCAUCGAAGUUUUACGACUAAAUCUGAGUUGGUUUUCUCGUAAAGUUUAUCGUGUAAAACAAGAACGAUCGACUUUAACAUAGGUUUUUUAAGCUGUACGACUUGUUUUGCUUUCGACGCUUGUUUUAUGGAAAGUCCGCGCAUGAUAAAUAUUUUUAGCCGUUGAUUUCGAGAUAACCGUUUUUGACCCCAACAAAGAUUAAAGAUGCUGCUGUGUGGAGGACAUCAUCAGAGAUCGAGUAUAUGGAAGAUGCACUUGGAAGCUGUCUUGCUUGGCCAGAGGAUAAAGUUCUAUUGGUUUAAAAACAGAGCCAAAGGAACCAAGCAACAAGACUCUUUGUGUUUUUAAUGACUGUUUUUCAGUGACUCUGUUUUUAAUGACUCUGUUUUUCUAAGACAUCAUCGGCUUUCGGUUUCUGUCUUUCAAAACGUGACCAAGUGUUAUUUGCCUUUUAUCUUGUGCUUUUAGAAUCUUAACUAAUUAAGGUUUAUGAUGCAAUGUGUUUGUCUUAAUUCACAACAAGGCCCAAAAUUAUAAUGUUGAAAUAUAUAACAAAGCAAAAGAUAACUUUUAGUGUUUAGGGUAAUGAUAGGGUUUAGUGAUUCAUUAACAAAAAAAUGUAAUUUGUAACCAUGAGAUAACACGACACACAAACAAAGAUAAAAUUAUGAAUCAAGUGAACUUUCCACACUUUUGUCAUCGAUGGUUUAUGUAUGUUCAUGUAAGUUUUAGGGGUUAGGGUAUAAAUUGGUUUACUUUGAGUGUUUGGUGUUUAUAGGUUCACAACAUGAUUUUGUUUUCCAUAAUCUACUUUGUACUGAUUAUAUGAUCAUUGUUAAAUGUAGAUAUAUAUUCAAAUACAAGUAUACACCAUCCUAAAUCAUAUCAAAAUCAAAGAAAAUCCAUGUUGUUCCACAAAAUCAAACCAUCCAUCGUUAGUUCAUGCACGAGACAAACAAAAAAAAUUCCACUAAUUAUAUCCAUUGGAUCGAGAUGAUUCAACGGUGGAGAUUAGUUCUUUAGGUUAUCCUUGUCAUUGUCUCUCAUUGGUCGAGAGCUUUUUUGGAGGCAACCUGAAAUUUUUCUACUUUUCGGAGCCAAACGAAAACAUAUUUUCUUUAUCGACUUCUCUCUCUUUCCCUCAAACCACCACAAAUCUCUCUCAAGGAACCACGAUUCUCUCUUAAUCCACCACGAAUCUCUCUCCUUCCAUCUCAAACCAACACAAAAUCUGUAUAAGCCACCACAAAUCUCUCCGACCCUCCACAAUUUCAUCUCCAAUCUCUCUUCAAGACACACGAUUUAGGUUACAGAGAUCUCUUCUUACAGUUUUAUCUUCCCUCAAGAUUUGAAGCGUUACAGACUCUACUCAAUUUCCAGCAACUCUAAUGGAAGCAAGGAAGAGCAUUGUCUUAGCCCUCGCUGCAGUCGGUGUGAAGCCCCAACCCAAACAACAACAGCCACAACGUGAAGCGGUCAACACAUCUCAGAUGCAACGCCCAAUACCAGAACAAGGACAGUCCUCAGGAGGUAAUGAUGUGGAAGAGAUAACCAGAGCCGAGUUUAGAUGCUCUCAAGGCUACCACUUGACACGCAUUGAAGAACCUGAAGAAGACAUCGAGCCAAUGUUCCUGAACCUUAUCAGAUCCAUGAAUGCCCGCAACUCAUCUGGUCAAUAAUAAUGCCUAGAUUUCUAUAAACCAUUUGCUUCAGGAUCUAUUGUAGUUAAUCAUUCUACUCUUUUGGUAUGUUUGUAGUUUGUAAUUUGUUUCUUUUA